UGAAUUCUGGGUGGUUCAUCCUCCUCCCUGCCCUUCUAAACAGAGAAUCAGAGAGAAAAUCCCCGACGGACUUCCCCGUCCCUCUUGUGUCGCUCCUGGCACCUAGUAAGGGAACAAGGAUGUACUCGGGAUCCUGUCGCCGAGAGAAAAAGUAAAGGGCACUGUCGCUCGGCACCAGGUUUUCAGGGGUCGUAACUACGAGGCAGAAACCCGAGUCGGGUCCACAGGAAGGGAGGAAGGGACUCGGGUCACUCCGCCGAGGCUUUCCCACGGUCGCUCCACCGUCUCCUUAACACCGGGAAACAGAAACACCCGUGGCGAGCUCUGGCAGUUUUGUUGAGAGAUGGAGUCCUAGAGUCCAGUAUGCUUUUCUUCUCUACAUUCCUAUUCAGU
rnacentral:lncRNA from 1 species